CAUCAACUAAUCCAACUUCCACCUAACCUUAAAAUCAUUUCAGGGUUCUCUCCCACAAGUGUACAUGUAUCAGAUCUCUCUUUCCUCUCCCUCCCCUCCUACCUUCAACAAUUGUCGCCGCCUUUUCCGCCCUGCACCACCUCGACCUUCUCUCUUGCUCUCUCCCAUAAAGUCUGCUCGUCGUCUUCACCAUCUCAACCCCUCUCUUUACCACCCCACCACCGCCCUAAUCUGCUUGUCGUCGAUCUGUCGCCACCUGUCACACCCCAAUUCUUGAAACAAUAACUUUAACCGGGGUACGACUCAUCAUUCAAUAUGAACAAGGGAAAAACCUUGUGAAAUCCAAAUAAAAGGGAUAUCAAUCAGGCUUAGCCCCUUUGGAUGAAGAAAGACAGGUAUUCAAGUGAUACAAAUCUAUCAACAAACAUAAUAACUUCAGGAUCACAAGUUUAGUGUCAUGUUUCAGAUAACCAACAUUUAUAGGAUGAAAUACUUGCGAAUUAAUAGUCUUGGCUUAACAAAAGAUAUUGUUUAGAUUCACAACAUAAUAGGGCUUAAGUAAGGAAAACAAAAGACAGAUACUGGCUAAUUCUACAGCGGAAGUCAAAACACGGAGUUGAACCUUAGCCUCAGCUCGCCCCGUUAGCACCAGCCGCUAACCUGAAAAAUAUUUGAAAGUAUUUUUGGGCUAAGUACUAAUGUACUUAGUGGCUGCAACUUUUGAAACAUUUCAAUCUGAAGAACAGUUUAUCCAAUCAUACUUGACAUGACUUAGAAGGAUUUAAAGUGAAAGAACUUCUAAGCAUGUUAAAACAUUUCAUUCUAUAUUAUAUAUAUAUACACUUAAUUUUGCGCGCAGUUGUCACACUCAUUUCUGUUACUCGCUAUGAUCCCGGACAUUUUAGCCACCGACGGAUCCGUUUCUCCCAUUUACUUGAACUGAGGGCGUAACCCAGACAAGUUUACUUUUGACCUCGGGACGCUACCCAGACAGGCCCUUACAUUCUAUGCUUCGGAACACAUCCAGCAAGCAUCCUUAUAACGCCUCUUAGUUAGUGCCCGAAUGGAGAUCAACCCACCGAGUCAGCUAACGGUGUACACAAUUCCCAAAUAACGUGUUAGGCUAUAAGAGAACCUCAAUUGAUUCGUUGUGGCGAGCAUUAAACAGAGCAGAGUGCACAUAAACAUUUUAUUGGAUAAACAACUUAUAUUUUACGAACAUUUAAGCUCAUUAGCUCAAUCAUACAUUUGGAAAAUAAGCCCACCUGUUUAGGCAAAGCCUGUCGUUUAACCUUAUCUCUGAAUCGGAAUAGCAGUGCUAAUCCUCCUGACGUUCAAAGCCUACAAGAAAUCUAUUCUUAAUAGGUCUCUUAAAUCUAAACUCAAGUCACGGUAAAGUGCUUAUCAUUCUAUGAUUCACUUAGCCGGCUUUUCAAAAAUUAAUGAAUAAAUAAAUGAAAACAUUUCUCUUGAGUUAAGAACACCAACAAUAUUCUUACUCAUCUUUCUUUUGUAAUUGGAAUUAUAAAUAAAACCAAUUAAAACAUGAUGCAUGCAUGACUCAUUUCAUACUUAAGCAUAAAAAGUGUUUACUAAAAUAUGCACAAGUGUUCUACUCCGUUCUGUUCUGUUACGUUAACCAGCUCUGGUCUCUACCAGCUCUGCUAUCCCAGCUCUGCUCUACAGCUCGGGUUCCAGCUCUGGCAUUUAAGCUCUGCCUUUCAGCUCUGACUUUCAGCUCUGGCAUUUCAGCUCUGGCAUUCCAGCUCUGGUGUUUAGCUCUGGUGGUCAGCUCUGGCUUUCCAGCUCUGGCUUUUCAGCUCUGGCUUUUCCUCUCGUCUGCUCUGCUCUGCACUCAUCUCCUUGCUUCUACUCUGCACCCAUUCAAUACAACUCCCACGACUCUUUCUUUCUCAGCCCACCAAGUCAGUUCUCACCGAUCACCUCCUUGGCAACGGCGAAGCGCCGUCACCUCCCUCUGCUUCCGGCGACUACAGCAAGCCACGGCCGCUACCCUCACUCUCCUUUCCUCCCGAUCUCGACUGAUCCACAGCCAAACCCAACUCAAGAAUUCUACCUUUCUUCCUAUUCUUUUAACACAGACAAGUUCUAAAGCAAGCAUAUAAACAAGACUCUACAUUUCCCCUAUUCAUUUAACAGUUAUGAUGCUAAAAUAUAUAAACACACAAAGAUACAUGAACAUAUGAACAAAGGGCGAUGGAGUUCAUAGAUGAAACCUUGGCUUGAAUUUGCUGGAUGCUGGGUGAAUCGAGAGCUAUGGUUGCUGCUGUUCUUGGAGUUCUCUUCAGUGUUGGAAAGAGAGAGAUGAAGUGAGUGAAAUGAGAGAAAUAUCUUGGCUAUGGUUUGAGUGUUUGCGGAGGAGUUAAGGGAGGAGAGAGGGAAUAGUUAGGCGGCCGAGAGGUGAGUGAAAUAUCUUGAGGCAAAGAUGGGUUGGGCUUGAUUGUAAUGGAUUGGGCCGGUUCUCAUUCUUUCUUGAAAGCAAUUAAAAGCUUGAGGCCCAAACAAAAUUAAAUCCCAACUCAUGAAAUGCUUGAAUGCUUAAUUAAAUAAAUAUGCAAUGCAUAUAAAUUUAAUACUAAAUUUACAAAUGCUUUUGUAAAUCAUUUUUGUUGGAAUUAAAAUAAAUUCUUUUUCUCAAUCCGGCGUAAAUCAUCUUAAAUCUAAGUUCAAAAGUAUUCUAAACUUAGCUCGAGGAAACGGGGUAUUACACCACCACCACCCUCGUGCCCUCCACCACCCCAGAUUCUCGGUCACCACCGCGCUCGCGCCCUCGUACCCUCCAUCACCCCAGCUCCACUCGAUCUACCGCCUUCGCCACUGCCCCCAC
rnacentral:lncRNA from 1 species